GACGAACGCUGGCGGCGUGCCUAAUACAUGCAAGUCGAGCGCAGGAAACUGACGGAACUCUUCGGAGGGAAGGCAGUGGAAUGAGCGGCGGACGGGUGAGUAACACGUAAGGAACCUACCUCAAGGAUUGGGAUAACUCCGAGAAAUCGGAGCUAAUACCGGAUAGUUCAACGGACCGCAUGGUCCGCUGAUGAAAGGCGCUGCGGCGUCACCUGGAGAUGGCCUUGCGGUGCAUUAGCUAGUUGGUGGGGUAACGGCCCACCAAGGCGACGAUGCAUAGCCGACCUGAGAGGGUGAUCGGCCACACUGGGACUGAGACACGGCCCAGACUCCUACGGGAGGCAGCAGUAGGGAAUCUUCCACAAUGGACGAAAGUCUGAUGGAGCAACGCCGCGUGAGUGAUGAAGGUUUUCGGAUCGUAAAACUCUGUUGUAAGGGAAGAACACGUACGAGAGGAAAUGCUCGUACCUUGACGGUACCUUACGAGAAAGCCACGGCUAACUACGUGCCAGCCGCCGCGGUAAAAC
rnacentral:rRNA from 1 species